UUCGGAGUAGGCGACUAAGCGUUAAGUGCUGAUGGAACGGAAUGUGAACGUCAGACAAAGGGAUUUCCCGCGAUUUAGUUGCCGCAUUCGCCGCA
rfam:Lactobacillus dextrinicus DSM 20335 NODE_6, whole genome shotgun sequence.